rnacentral:lncRNA from 1 species
GCUGUGCACACCCCAUGUCUUCAUCUCCAGCAUGCCGCAAGGAGUGCGAUGAAAGGAGCAGCUGUUCUCCCCAGGCCUUAUGUCCUCUCCUCUUCAUAGAGAGAAAGUGCAGAAGAGCAGUUCUGGACUUGGUGGGCCUGGAGAAACCCUUCAUUUUGACAGCCAGGAGUGGGAGCCCAUCCUCAGCCCACCCACAAAUGGCUGUAUCCAGCACUGCAUAUCUGCUCAAAAAACAAAAGCGACCCAAGUGGAGAGAGAAAGCUAAUCAUGGGCUUGGCAUCUGAUUGUGGUCUGGCUUAAUACAUUAUUCUUAGAGCCAACUGGAAAGGAAACCACCACC